GACGACAGCUGGCGGCGUGCCUAAUACAUGCCAGUCGAGCGAAGCGGCGGAUGGGUGAGUAACGCGUGGGUAACCUGCCCUUAAGUAUGGGAUAACAUUUGGAAACAGAUGCUAAUACCGGAUACUAAAGGAUGGACCUGCGCUGCAUUAUCUAGUUGGUAAGGUAACGGCUUACAAAGGCGAUGAGGAAGAGCCGGUUGUAGCGAAUAGUCCGCCACAUUGGGACUGAGACACGGCCCAAACUCCUACGGGAGGCAGCAGUAGGGAAUCUUCCACAAUGGGCGCAAGCCUGAUGCAGCCAUGCCGCGUGUAUGAAGAAGGCCUUCGGGUUGUAAAGUACUUUCAGCGAGGAGGCGUUACUCGCAGAAGAAGCACCGGCUAACUCCGUGCCAGCAGCCGCGGUAAUAC
rnacentral:rRNA from 1 species